rnacentral:rRNA from 1 species
UACCAGCACCCCGAGUGGUCGGGACGAUUAUUGGGCCUAAAGCAUCCGUAGCCGGUUCUACAAGUCUUCCGUUAAAUCCACCUGCUUAACAGAUGGGCUGCGGAGGAUACUAUAGAGCUAGGAGGCGGGAGAGGCAAGCGGUACUCGAUGGGUAGGGGUAAAAUCCGUUGAUCCAUUGAAGACCACCAGUGGCGAAGGCGGCUUGCCGGAACGCGCUCGACGGUGAGGGAUGAAAGCUGGGGGAGCAAACCGG